CCAGAAAGCUUUAGAAGAAAAAGGCCCAGCUGUGCACACCAUUCAGUUAGAGGAGCUUUCGGGUGGCAUGUGAAGCCUGGGACAAAAAGCUAUAAAAAGGGAAAAAGAGAGGAUUGAGGUAUCGAGAUAUUAGUUAUCAGUUUUGAUUGUUUGGCCAGCUGUUCUCAGCUUGGUGGGAAGAGCAUUGUAUUGUGUUUCCGCUGGGGAGAUUUCUUCUCCUUUUCAUUGUGUAAUUCUGCUUCUGUACUGAGAUAUAUUGG
rnacentral:misc_RNA from 1 species